UACGAAGGGGGCUAGCGUUGCUCGGAAUCACUGGGCGUAAAGCGCACGUAGGCGGCUUACUAAGUCAGGGGUGAAAUCCUGGAGCUCAACUCCAGAACUGCCUUUGAUACUGGUAAGCUCGAGUCCGGGAGAGGUGAGUGGAACUGCGAGUGUAGAGGUGAAAUUCGUAGAUAUUCGCAAGAACACCAGUGGCGAAGGCGGCUCACUGGCCCGGUACUGACGCUGAGGCGCGAAAGCGUGGGGAGCAAACAGG
rnacentral:rRNA from 1 species